CCUACGGGCGGCAGCAGUGAGGAAUAUUGGUCAAUGGACGAGAGUCUGAACCAGCCAAGUCGCGUGAAGGAAGACGGUCCUACGGUUUGUAAACCUCUUUUAUAUGGGAGCAAAGCGAGUCACGUGUGACUCAUUGAGAGUACCCGAUGAAUAAGCAUCGGCUAACUCCGUGCCAGCAGCCGCGGUAAUACGGAGGAUGCGAGCGUUAUCCGGAUUUAUUGGGUUUAAAGGGUGCGCAGGUGGUGAUUCAAGUCAGCGGUAAAAUUGCGGGGUUCAACCUCGUACUGCCGUUGAAACUGGGUCACUUGAGUGUGUGUGAGGUAUGCGGAAUGCGUGGUGUAGCGGUGAAAUGCAUAGAUAUCACGCAGAACUCCGAUUGCGAAGGCAGCAUAC
rnacentral:rRNA from 1 species